rnacentral:pre_miRNA from 1 species
AAGGGGAGUGCCGGAUCCUGGGCUGUGUCCCCGGGCAUCUUGGGCUCCAGGGCCUGCCCCGCAGGAAUCGUGCUCCUGGGCCCGCGCAGCCCCAU